UCGCCUGUUUAUCAAAAACAUCACCUAAUAUUUAGGCUUUACCUGCUCAAUGAUAAAAAUUAAAUAGCCAAACUAUGCUAAGGUAGCAUAAUAAUUUGCUUUAUAAUUAAAAGAUGGAAUGAAUGGUAUUUCUAAAAAUAAUUAUUUUAUUAUUAAAUUAAAUUUUUAUAAAGUUGAAAAUUACUUUAUAUUCUUUUUAGACGAUAAGACCCUAUGAAGCUUUAUUAAAUAAAUAAACUAAUAAUAAAGAAUUUAAUUUUUUUGGGGCAAAAAAAAAAUUUUUUAUUUUUACUUAGCUAUGUACUGAUCUUUAUGAAUUUUAAGAGAAAGCUACUCUAGGGAUAACAGCAUAAUUUUUAAAAAAGUUCUUAUUAAAAUAAAAGUUUGUGACCNCGAUGUUGA
rnacentral:rRNA from 1 species